UACGUAGGGGGCAAGCGUUGUCCGGAAUUAUUGGGCGUAAAGGGCGCGUAGGCGGCUUGGCAAGUGGAUGGUGAAAUCCCUCGGCUUAACCGAGGAACUGCCGUCCAAACUGCUUCGCUUGAGACCGGGAGAGGUGAGUGGAAUUCCCAGUGUAGCGGUGAAAUGCGUAGAUAUUGGGAGGAACACCAGUGGCGAAGGCGGCUCACUGGACCGGUACUGACGCUGAUGCGCGAAAGCGUGGGGAGCAAACGGG
rnacentral:rRNA from 1 species